GCCAGAGUGGCAUAGUGGUUUGAGUGUCAGAUUGUGACUCUGGAGACCAGGGUUCAGUUCCCCACCCAGUCA
rnacentral:tRNA from 1 species